UAACAGCAGAGAUGAGCUGAGAAUGAAUCAGAACGUGCCCUGUAGUGACACUGAUACGUUUCCUGAGAUAAGAGAUUCAUCCCUUGAUUCACUCAUUCAGCAAAUAUGACUGAGCACCGUCUCUAAGCAGGACAUUUGCCUUGUCCUCAGGGAGCAUAGUUGGCAAGGAAUCUAGACAGCAGCCCUUCUUGAGCUUGACAUUGAUCUUCUCAUGAGGAGGACUGGGCUCCAGAUCUUCCUGGGACCAGGUCUUCAGGACAGUGUGAGCUAGGUGCUCUGGGCUGAUGUCAUUACAUUUGUAACUUCCAUGCCCCCCAAAAAUGUUUUGAAGACAUUCAUUUUAUCAAAAUACAACAUACAUGCAGAAAAAUGCCCACAUUUUAACUUACGGCUUGAAGUGAAGUUACCCACGCAACACCCACCCACAUCAAGAAGUAGAACAUUCCCAGCACCCCCAGAAGCCUUCUUGAGGCCCUCCCUGCUCUUCCUGCCCCAACCAAG